ACAUGUUCUUUGCAUGCGUUACUGGAUGACAAAGAGGACAUUUGAAAAUGAAAAAUCAGAUCUCUGUAACAAACCAUUUCUCAACCUGACUUCUUCAUAUUUCUUUAACUUUGUGAUUAUAUUUAGGGAACUCUAUUUCAGAAAAUCAGUCUCAAGAAAAGCUUGGAUACAAUGGAAACAAAGAGGCUUCAUGUUUUAUUUGGAUUCUUGAUACCAUCAAGCUCAGAAAUAGAUUAUUUUUUUUAAUUGUUUCAGCUUCACAUUACCAACGUUGGUUUCUUCUUUCAGAGUUUUUCUUUCCCUACCCAGAACAACUUUUAACUUCUUAAAGCACCCUACCUGGACGGAAUGGAGAACAGACUCCGAGGCCAGCCCAGUGCGGGAGACAAGUUAUGGCUGGGGCCGGAGUGGGAGCAGAGUGAAUGAGGACCGAGUCCCAGAAGUAAGUCACAGCCGGAGCAGCAGCAGAACAAGCGCGGGCCGAGCUGGGAGCCGGAGCGGGAGCAGAUCAAGCCCAGGCCGACCGGGGAGGGAGAUUGAGUCCUGGAUAGAGGCUAAAGCGUGGAGGCAGCGCGGCCUUGUGUUCUGAAGCCUGGCAAAGCGCAGACUCAGUGAAAAAGGACUUUAACCUUUUAUUCUCAUUCUGGACUUUUUAAACUCUGCAUUUCCAUGCUAGUCUAAUUUUUUCAUCGUUUCAAUUCUGUGACAACACUUAAAAGUACCUGUACCUAGGUACUCGGUACCUAAGAUAGUGCCAAGAGGUGACAUUACAAACUUUUCACUCAUCCGAGUGCAUGUGGGAAUAAAGGAUAUUCUAAAAUAAUGGUGCUGAUACCCUGAAAAGAAA